rnacentral:rRNA from 1 species
CCUACGGGAGGCUGCAGUGAGGAAUAUUGGUCAAUGGGCGCGAGCCUGAACCAGCCAAGUCGCGUGAGGGAAGACGGUCCUAUGGAUUGUAAACCUCUUUUGUCGGGGAGCAAAAGACGCCACGCGUGGCGUUCCGAGAGUACCCGAAGAAAAAGCAUCGGCUAACUCCGUGCCAGCAGCCGCGGUAAUACGGAGGAUGCGAGCGUUAUCCGGAUUUAUUGGGUUUAAAGGGUGCGCAGGCGGAAUAUCAAGUCAGCGGUAAAAUUGAGAGGCUCAACCUCAUCGAGCCGUUGAAACUGGUUUGCUUGAGUGAGUGAGAAGUAUGCGGAAUGCGGGGGGUAGCGGUGAAAUGCAUAGAUAUCACGCAGAACUCCGAUUGCGAAGGCAGCAUACCGGCGCUCAACUGACGCUCAUGCACGAAAGUGUGGGUAUCGAACAGGAUUAGAUACCCGAGUAGUC